AACGAACGCUGGCGGCGGGCCUCAUACAUGCAAGUCGAGCGCGAAAGUCCGCAAGGAUGAGUAAAGCGGCGCACGGGUGAGUAACACGUGGAUAAUCUACCCUUUGGAUUGGAAUAACCUGUCGAAAGACGGGCUAAUGCCGAGUAAGCUUACGAGUUCGUGAAGUUCUUGUAAGGAAAGAUGGCGCAAGCUAUCGCCGAUGGAUGAGUCUGCGUCCCAUUAGUUAGUUGGUGGGGUAAUGGCUUACCAAGACUAUGAUGGGUACCUGGUCUGAGAGGAUGACCAGGCACACUGGAACUGAAACACGGUCCAGACUCCUACGGGAGGCAGCAGUAGGGAAUAUUGCGCAAUGGACGAAAGGUCUGACGCAGCCACGCCACGUGAGUGAGGAAGGCCUGGUGUAAGCU
rnacentral:rRNA from 1 species